rnacentral:rRNA from 1 species
GAUGAACGCUGGCGGCGUGCCUAAUACAUGCAAGUCGAGCGAACGUACUAGAAGCUUGCUUCUCUGAUGUUAGCGGCGGACGGGUGAGUAACACGUGGAUCACCUACCUAUAAGACUGGGAUAACUUCGGGAAACCGGAGCUAAUACCGGAUAAUAUUUUGAUCCUCAUGUUUCAAAAGUUAAAGACGGUCUUGCUGUCACUUCUCGAUGUAUCCUCGCUGCUUUAGUUAGUUGUUAGGGUACCGGCUUACCAAGGCAACCAGGCAUAGCCGACCUGAGAGGGAGAGCGGCCACACGGGAAGGGAGACAGGGACCAGCCACAGACGGAAGGCAGGAGUAGGGAAGGUACGGCAGAGGGCGAAGGCGGGACGGAGCAAGGCAGCGUGGGUGAAGAAGUAAUUCGGAUGGUAAAACACUGUAUUAGGGAAGAACAUAUGUGUAAGUAACGGUGCAGAUCUUGAAGGUACCGAAUCAGAAAGCAACGGCUAACUACGUG